UACGUAGGGUGCAAGCGUUGUCCGGAAUUAUUGGGCGUAAAGGGCUCGUAGGCGGCCAACUAAGUCAGACGUGAAAUCCCUAGGCUCAACCUAGGAACUGCGUCUGAUACUGGAUGGCUUGAAUCCGGGAGAGGGAUGCAGAAUUCCAGGUGUAGCGGUGAAAUGCGUAGAUAUCUGGAGGAAUACCGGUGGCGAAGGCGGCAUCCUGGACCGGCAUUGACGCUGAGGAGCGAAAGCCAGGGGAGCAAACAGG
rnacentral:rRNA from 1 species